ACUCGGGGUGCCCACCGUUUAAUCUGGUGUGGCUGAGAUAAGACCCGUAUGACCUGAUCUGGAUUAUGCCAGCGGAGGGAAGUUGC
rnacentral:ncRNA from 1 species